UCUUUUUUUACCUCUCUUACUUUUAUUUUAUAACCAUCAAAGCUCGUAAAAUGAUCUACCAGGAUGACAAAACUCAUAAACUUACAACCACCAAAAUAAAAAAUAUCUACCAUAAUUAAAGAGUUAAUUGAGUUGAUAUCACACAUGUACAAGCCCAAUUUCUCCCGGGCCCAGGCAAACAAAAAAACAAAAAUUACCAGCCCAAUAUACCCAAUUAAAAUCCAAACAACAAAACCCAACAGACCCAAUACCCAAACCAAGCCCAAAACCUAAACUUUUUCAGAAAAAACAAAAAAACCCUAGCCUGUGACAACCACCCUACUGCUGCCGCCCUAGGUCAGCCACCACCAACUCCUCUGCAGCGCCACCUGCUCCACCUGCUACCGCCACUUGCACCUGCAAAAAAAUAGAGGAAGAAGAGACAACAAAAAUAAAAAAAAAUUGUAAAAAAUGGCUAUAAAGCCAUAGCAACUCUUGAAAAAGGGGGACCUUUUUUUUGAUGAUAUUGGAAAUAAAAA
rnacentral:lncRNA from 1 species